CAGGCUGGUUGUCUGCUCGGUAUCCCUAGGACUGACCUGCCCACAUCCUAUGUAUUGAUGCAGCUUCCCUCGAGAUCGCAGCUGUGAGAUUUUCUGGAUUAAUACCUGUCCGAGGUGUAUAGAUAAAGCGAGUAGAAUGGCAUCCAAGGGAUGAAUGCAUCUCCUCUCUUUCCCUUUAAAAAAUGGGUUGAAUGACUUUGAAUGACUGAUACUUUACAUUGCAUAGUUAUAAAAAUAACAUUUAUAACUUUAGCUGGUUUUGCCCUUGCUCCUACCCUCUUGGUAUACCACAGAACCCACAUACUCGCUGGGGAAGUUACGAAUCUCGUAUAGGUAUAACACAACACAGGUCUGUCACAAAAGACAAACUAAGAACUUCAGCAGUAACUUAAAGGAGAUAUUUAUUGUCAAGCUGCAACACAUCAAAUAAGGAAGCAAAUACCGUCAUAACUGACAAAAAAUGAAGGAGAAUGCAUUGUGAAUUCACUGAAUUUUAGUUUCUGUCUUGUUCAAAAGAGAAAUUUCUUGGUUUGGCUGACAGGAAACAACAAUGCACAACUGUCCUAUAAUCGCAGCAAUCAGACGCUUAUAGGGAACAAUAAUAGUAGGCGAAAUAAAUUAGUUAUAAAGAGAUCUGUUCAGAGAAUUUCUAACGACCUCUUUCUUUUUUCUUCAUAUUUGAGGGUUUGGGCCUUUUUUUUUUAAAGUUUUAAAAGUUUCAAGACUUGUAGAUCUCACUAUUGUAGGGAUUGCUUUUCUGUAUGUUUAUUCUUUGGGGUGGCAACAGUCAUUUACUCCACUGAAAAGAUAAACAAUUAGCUUUAAAAAAAAAGUUUAAUGUUUCUGGUAAUUAAUCAAGCAAGGCUUGUCAUAAAAUAAACUAUGAAGUUGUUUAUUUAUUUAGUAUUAGUCAAGAAUACUAAUAUUCCAGAGUUGGGAGAACGACAUCGUUUUCUCCAUGCAAAGCAGGAAAGCCACAGGAUGCAAACCUUGAAGUUAACAGCGCAAAGGCAACACUUAAGAAAACAAAAAAGCCCCCCAAGCAUGUCUCACCCCCCAAAAAAAAACAGUCCAAUUACAUUAAUAAUAGAUAAUAGCUCAUGAUUAACACAUUGUCUGUUGAACAACGUGGACCCUAACCCAUUCUCUUGAAAUUCUCAAACAGAACACA